UUAAAUGAGGCCUGGGGUUGAAUGCAAAGGAGAGAGCAAGGUGAGCGCCAGCACUUCCGCUUCCUGACUGUGGGUGCACUGUGGUCAGCUGCCUCACCUUCCUGAUGAACUCUGCCCCAGCAGCUGUGAGCCAGGAUACACCCUUCCAUCCUAAACACACCUUUCUCAGACUGGAGACAGUGUGGCACAUGAAUCAGCUGCCUCACCCCAGGAGCAAAGGGGCUCUGGAACGGACUGGUCAGCCAUGGCUGGGGACUGCCCCUGAACACCCAUCCUCAGGCUCCCCCUGCAUGGAGGUGGAUGAGUCCCCAGGAAAAACAGACAGACAAAGGCCUACAGGCCCUCACCAGAACUGAGCCAUUUGGGGCUCAGGUGUCCAUCCGCGUCUAUAGGCUGUUGAGGGGAAGCACAGCCACAUGGCGGAGGCUCAUGAAUGAAAACAUCUGAGACAGCAACAUCACUGAGGAAACCCUCACAGGCCUUCACCAUGCCCUGGUCCUAAGCUCAGCUUGUGUGGGCAUCUCUAAGCUGGAGUCUUUGUGCUGCAGAGAGAUCAUGACAGAACACUCCAAGCCCUGUCCAAUGGGGCUGGAUUGGAGGAUGAGAGGCAGGACUCGCCUCAUCUGGAAACCAGCAGGAUAUGAGUCUGACAGUUAAUUAGCUUAAUUAGGGAACCAUGCCUUAAAAUGUAAUGCGGCUUUCAUGAGCUUUUAAAGCCUAUCACAAUGUUUGCUGAGCUUUAUGGCUGGUAAUUAACAACCUUGUAAAAAUAUACAAGGAAACAAGCAGAUAUGCCUGAGCUAAUGAAUGGGGCAGCUGCCAGGUCCACAAAGUUUGGUUCUGGCCUUCGCAACCUGUGGUCGAAUCCCAGCCUGCUUCAGCUGGUCGUGACCUCGGUACAAGAGUCUUCUCACACAAGUAAAGGGGCUGGGUGACUUCUGAGCCCUGGGCCAGCUGUGUUUCUCAGUCCUUUCCUUUCUUGUAUCUUAGACUCAGGUUCUGUCCUUCCUUGGGGACCCUUCAGUCAUCGAAGCUUACAUCUUCCUGGCAUCUACUCCAUGGAAACAGACAUGUACAGUUUCCAUGGCUAACGGCCCAUUCAUCUGCCCUACUUUCUUCAGGACGUCGCUUCCUUGCAGUCCUCAGACUUGAUGCUUUACAAAGAAUACGACUCUGGCUCUAAGAAAAGCACGUCUAAGCCAACCAGAGCAUUUUAAGGACCUUAUCAGAGCCAAUCAGGCUUCACCGAAAGCAAGAGGCUCUCCAUUAACUGACACUGAGAUGACUAAGACCUGUGCUGAGGACAGCCUUGUCCAUCCCAAGGACUGAGAGAGUGAAGACCUUAGUCUCAGAGAAAGGUUAAGUUACAGCACCAUUGUUUGGGUCCCUGAGUCUGGCAGUGUCUUCAAUCUGUCUUUGAACAUUUCGAUGACAUGAACCUCAGCUCUUGUUUCUUUUCAGCUGAGUGGAGGCGAGUUUUCUGGCACCUGUAAACAAGAAUCCUGACACUUAUGUGGUGUGUUUGUGAGUGUAGAGGUGUGAGAAAGAGGAAGAAGAAAAAAAAACAGAAUAAAAGACAAUUUUAAAAGUGAAAAUAUAUGCUAGAAGGAGCACUUGCCACUUCCUGGGUGGAAACCGGUGUUUGCUCUCAUUUCCCUGAGACAAUUCCUAUGCAUUUUCUCAGGGUCCAGCUCCACGGCCCCUUGUCUUUCCAUGUUUGCAGCAGGGUCAGCUCUUCCCCGUCAGGGUCUCUCAGGGAAACCAGCACUUGUAUCAGUGGGAGAACUUCUAGAAGUAGGGGAACCAGCUAUAGGUAGGAGAACCUGGCAGGGUUCUACUGUCUCCUUCAAAUACAUACCCUCAUGACCUGAGGUGCUCAUCAGACUUCACAUCCCAACAUUUUGACUGUUUCAUGAGCCAGGCAAGAUGAUGAACAACUAUAAUCCAGAACUCGAGAAGCUGAGGCAGGAGGAUUAGCUAUUUAAAGCUAGCCUGUGUUACGUAGUGAGUUUGAAGCAAUGCAAGAUCCUAUUUUAACAAAGGGUAAAAGGCCUUUCGAAAUUCCAAAUCCUUUUACAGGAAAAAGAAGAAAAAAAGACCAUCAUCAUGAUGUAGACUCAGCCUUCAGACACUAUAGAACGUGUGAAGUUCGGCUGUGGGAGUGGUUCAGUGGGUGAAGCACUUGCCCUAAUGUGUGUGAGGACCUGCAUUUAAGUCUCCAGCACUCCUCCUGGGACAUGGGAAGUGGAGAAUCCCAGGAGCAGGCAGGCCAGCAACCCUAGCACAAGGCAUGGUGAUAACCACAGGAGACUGUCUCUAAUAAAGGGGAGGGCAAGAAGUACCCAAGAUGCCCUGCACUCACACUGUAGACCAUACAAACCUGAACUCACACAUACAUAUGCAGAGAGAUUUUUAAAAAGAAAAGACAAGUGUGAAGGUGAAGAACCAGGAGGAGGAAAUUCCUCCUGACCUGCAAAGACUGAUGUUCUUGGCAAGUGACUAGAUGGUGACAUACUUUAAUUAUGACAAUCAAAAGGAAACCCCUUCAUGUCACAUUGAUUUUGUGGUCAAUGUGCUAAGAAAGGAAUCUGACUCUCCAGAAGGACGGGCAUGAAAGAAGAGAGGCUGAGUCUCUUUACUGAACUACUGUAGAAUGAGGGAAAACUGAAACUUGUUCAUCUUCACCAACAGUCCCUUCUGAUGAGUCACACUGUCAGACCUUCAUGGCUGUGGUUAAGUAUUGUCGGACUAAAGCAUCGACAAGCCAGAAGGCACACAGCCAUGUGUUGAUUCAUCAAGGCAUUUGUUACAGUCCCAGAAAGCUGACUGUCCGAUGCUGUUAAAGCUUUUCUCUAGAAUUCCAAAGGUUUAAAUCCCAGGGAUACAACUUAGCAGCUAUGUGGCAUAUUCCCCUGAGCCUCAGUUCCCUAUAUGUGAGAUGCAGAUGGUCCAUGACCAUCCUGAAGAUUCAUCAAGAUUUCGCUGCUUGGAAUUUGACACAGUGAUCCACACAUAGUGAACUCCCAUUAAACUGUCCCUAAGGUUCUCA